rnacentral:rRNA from 1 species
CUUGCUAAGUUUGAUGGCGACCGGCGCACGGGUGAGUAACACGUAUCCAACCUGCCGAUAACUCCGGAAUAGCCUUUCGAAAGAAAGAUUAAUACCGGAUGGCAUACGAAUAUCGCAUGAUAUUUUUAUUAAAGAAUUUCGGUUAUCGAUGGGGAUGCGUUCCAUUAGGUUGUUGGCGGGGUAACGGCCCACCAAGCCUUCGAUGGAUAGGGGUUCUGAGAGGAAGGUCCCCCACAUUGGAACUGAGACACGGUCCAAACUCCUACGGGAGGCAGCAUG